rnacentral:rRNA from 1 species
UACAGAGGUCUCGAGCGUUAGGCGGAAUCACUGGGCUUAAAGCGUGUGUAGGUGGAUGCCUAAGUACCUUGUGAAAUCCCACGGCUUAACCGUGGAACUGCUUGGUAUACUGGGUGUCUUGAGUCACUCAGGGGCGAGCGGAACAAAUGGUGGAGCGGUGAAAAUGCGUAGAUAUCAUUUGGAACGCCAAUGGUGAAAACAGCUCGCUGGGGGUGCACUGACACUGAGACACGAAAGCCCAGGGGGAGCGAACGGG